AGACUAACAGCAAUGAUUGACGCAGAAAUAUGAAGUAUAAACCGGCACGAUACGAUAGCCAUAUAUUGGUGGACGAGAUGCCCUGUCUUUGCUUCCUCAGCAGUUACUCCCCGCUCCUAUCAGCAACAACUGGAGGGACAUUUCUGUUCUCAACCCUUUGCUAUGCUCAUUUUGCCAAAUCUGAAUGCCUGACGAAGAAUAGAGUUUUGAAAUGCAGCAAAUAAAUACACGGAUUUAUCUUUAGUACAUGACAUGGAGUCUCCUGGCCUGAUUUUGUGCUGAUUUCCUUCUCCACUUUGGCUCUGGGUCUCUCUUCUGAACCAUUAGGGAUGGAGGGGGCUGAGAUUGUGGGGAUACACCGUUGAGGGAGAAAGUGUGUGUGGAGUGGGCUGACCAUGAAUGGGGGAGUUUCAGACUGGAAUUAAGAGUUCUGGGGGGAGCACUGAGAACCUGUUGUGUCAGGAAGGGAUGCCGAAGGUUGGGGGGCGGUUCUUAAGAAAGCUCGACGGUUACAGGGUGCAUUUCCUGCUUUGAAGGGAGUUUAGAAAAGGAGGACUAGAGGAACGAUGGCAUCCCUGAUGUCUUCCGUGGGAAAACAGGCACAGGAGAGGCAACAUUGCAGAGGUAAACAUUGCGGGCAGAUGAUGCUGCAGGUGAUAAAAAUUCUGUAGCAAGAGGAACCACUGGAUGGGUUAAGAGAGACCUGACCGGGGGUAGGUGAAAGUGGUCGAGAUCAAUCCAAGUGGAAGGCACACAGCUCCUCUUCCAGGGACCUCUGUGUACAUGGACAGCCUGCAGUGCUCUGGCUCUUUUCUCUCCUGACUCAGAGAAACCAUCCCAUUACCAACAUCUAUGACAGAAACCACUGUAGCCUGUCAGUGGAGAACAAAUGGAGAGAGAAGCACACUUGAUGGGCCCUUUUUUCUCAGUGGCGUUCAGCUGCACAGAGAGACCACCAGUCUACCACCAGUUGCCACAGAACCGACUCUGACUCCUGGAGACCCCAUGUUUUAGAAGUAGAUCCCCAGGCCUUUCUUCACAGGUGCCUCUGGCUGGACAUGAACUUCCAGCCUUGCAGUUUACAGCCCAGCCUUCGGCCAUUUGCACCACCAGGGGCUCGACAGAGACAGGCAGUUCCUCUCACAAUACUGUCUUUUCCUGUCAUGUGGCUGGAAGAACAGGGCACUGACAAGUUCCUUGGAGGUUAAAAAUCUUUAAAACUGGAUUCAUCUGUGCACCCUGGCUUCAAUAUGCAAAUAGAAACCUGUGGUUGGUUUAACACAGAACCGACCUCUGGUGGGGCAAAUCUCUACUGAAUAGCCAUGUUUGGUUUCUACUCGAAGUAGCACAUUAAAUGCUGAAAGAAAAAAAAAAUCCUAUAGCGUUAGAGUCAUUUCCGACUCAUAGCGACCCUAUAGGACAGAGAAGAACUCCCCCAUAGGAUUUCCAAAGCUGUGAACUGUAAUUCCACCGUCAAGAAAGAUGUGCCGGCGGCAGAGCACGGCCUGUGCUCUCGAGGUCCCUGGGCUGUGAAGCCCCUAGACCAGGGCCAGUUUGUUGACAAGGACCUGCCCCCAGCGAUGAUACAGACGGAAAGCCUUCUCCUGGAUCUGGCGCCUUGAAUCCAGACUCCUAGCCAGCAUGCAUCUUAACGUUUGUGCCACUGUGGUGGCUUGCAUUUUCUCGUGAUACUGGAAGCUAUGCCACCACUAUUUCAAGUACCAGAGGACUCACCCAUGGUGGACAGGAUUCAGCGGGGCAUCCAGACUAACACAGGCUGAAAAGAAAGACCUGGCAGUUUAUUCUGAGAAGACUGGCCAGGAAAAAUCUUGUGAAUAACAGAGGAACAUUGUCGGAUAUGUUGCCAUAAAAGGAACCCAUCGGGUUGGAAGACACUCAAAACAACACUGGGGAAGAGCUUCCUAAUCAUUGAACCAAACCAACCAACCAACCAAACAAACAAAAAACCCAUUGCCUUGGGGUCGGUUGUGAUUCAUAGCAACCCUAUAGGACACAGCAGAGCUACCCCAUAGGGUUUCCAAGGAGCACCUGGUGGAUUCAAACUGAGGACCUUUUGGUUAGCAGCCAUAGCACUUAACCACUAUGCCAUCGGGGUUUCCACUCAAAGGACAGUCGACGUUAAUGAUGUAGAUGGGGUCAAGAUUUCAAGAGCUUCAUUUGCUCUUGUGGCACAACACAAAAUGAGAAAAAACCCUGCAAACCCCCUUAAUAGUCAGAGUAGGGAAUGUACUGAGUAUGAGUCUAGGAAAAUUGGAACUGGGAAGAAAUGAAAAGGAUCACAUAAAGGUGGAUAGCCUACACAUCAAUGAGAUCCAAUGGACCAGUGUUGGCCGUUUUGAGUCAGACGAUCACGUGUUCUACUAUGCCAGGAAUGACAACUUGAAGAGGAAUGGCGUUGCUUUCAUUGCCAAAAGGGGCAAUUCAAGAUCUAUCCCGAAGUGCAGAGCUGUUAGGGAGAGGAAGAUAUCCACACGCUUACAAGGAAGACCAGUUAAAAGGACUGUGAUUCAAAUUUACACACCAAGCACCAAUGCCAAAGCUGAAGAAAUUGAAGAUUUUUACCAACUUGUGCAGUCUGAAAUUGAUCCACAUGCAAUUAAGAUGCAUCGAUAAUGACUGGUGGCUAGGAUGCAAAGCUGGAAAUAAAGAAGAAGAAGAAUAUGUAGUUGGAAAAUAUGCCCUUGCCGUAGAAAGGACUCCAGAGAUCUCCUGACAAAAUUUGACAAGACCAACGACUUCCUCGUUGCAAGUACCUUUUUCGAUGACAUAAGUGCCGACUAUACACGUGGACCUCACCACGUGAAAAUCACAGGAAUCAAAGCCACUCUUUCUGUGGAAAGAGACCACGGAAAAGCUCAAUACCAUCAGCCCAAACAAGGCCAGAGGCCAAAGGCAGAUCAGACCGUCAAUUGCUCAUGUGCAAGUUGAAGAUGAAGAAGAUUAAAACAAGUCUAGGAGAGCCAAGCUAGGACCCUGAGUACAUGCCCCCUGAAUUUCAAGACCACCUCAAGAAUAGAUUCGACGCCUUGGACACCAAUAGCGGAGGACCAGCCAAGUUCUGGGAUGACCUCAAGCACGUCAUAGGUGAAGAAAGCAAAAGGUCAUUCAGAACACAGCAAACAGAGAAAAGAACAAAACGGAUGUCAGAAGAGAUUCUGAAAGUUGCUCUUGAACACGGAGUAGCUAAGGCGAGCGGAGGACAUGACGAACUAAAAGAGCCGAACAGAAGAUUUCAAAGGACGGCAGGAGAAGACAAAGUGUCAGUGAAAUGUGUAAGUAUCUGCAGUUAGAAAACCAAAAGGUGACAAAGGCCCAAAGCCUGUUAAAUGGGGAAAAGACAGUCCCUUUAACAAAUGGUGCUGGCAUAACUGGAUACCCAUCAGCAGAAAAAGGAAGCAAGACCCAUACCUAACACCAUGCACGUACACUAAGUCCAAAUAGACCAAAGACCUAAACAUAAAAUCUAAAACGAAACAGAUCAUGGAAGAAAACAAUAAGGACGACGCUAGGAGCCCUAAUACCUGGCAUAAACAGUAUACAAACAUCACUAACAACCCACAAACACCAGAAGAGACACUAGAUAACGGGGAGCUCCUAAAAAUCGAACAAUUAUGUUCAUCCAAAGACUUCACAAAAAGAGUAAAAAGACUACCUACAGACUGGGAAGAAGUUUUUGGCUAAGGCCAAUCCAAUCAGCGAAUGACCUCUAAAAUCUACACCAUACCGCCAAAACUCAACAAGAAAAAGACAAAUAACCCAAUGAAAAAAUAGGCAAAGGAUAGGAACAGGCGCUUCACCAAGGAAGACAUUCAGGCAGCUAAGAGAUACGUGAGGAAAUGCUCACAAUCAUUAGCCAUCAGAGAAAUGCAAAUCAAAACUACAACGAGAUACCAUCUCACCCCAAGAGGCUGACAUUAACCCAAAAAACAUAAAAUAAUAAAUGUUGGCGAGCUUGUGGAGAGACCGGAACACUGACACACUGCUGGUGGGAAUGUAAAAUGGUCCAAGCACUGCGGAAAUCAAUUUGGCGCUUCCAUAAAAAGCUGCAAAUAGCGCUACCAUACCAUCCUGCAAUACCACAACCUGGAAUGUAACCAGGAGAAAUAAGGGCCCUUGCACGAAUGGAUAUAUGCAUACCCAUGUUCACUGCAGCUCUGUUUACAACGGCAAAAAGAUGGAAGCAACGGAGGUGCCCGUCAAGGGAUGAAUGGGUGAAUAAAUCAUGGCAUAUUCACAUAAUGGAAUACUAUGCAACGACUAAGAACGAGGAAUCCGUGAAACAUCUCAUAACGUGGAGGAAUCUGGAAGGCAUUAUGCUGAGUGAAAUUAGUCAGUUGCAAAAGGAGCAAUGUCGUAUGAGGCCGCUAAUACAAGAACUCAAGAAAAAGUCUGAACACCGAAGAAAAUAUUCCUUGAUGGUUAUGAGGAUGGGGAGGGAGGGAGAGGGGUAUUCACUAAUUAGAUAGUACACAAGACAUAUUUUAGGUGAAGGGAAAGACAACACACAGUACCGGGAAGGUCAGCACAACUGGACUAAAGCAAAAGCUAAGAAGUUUCCCGAAUACAACCAAACGCUCGGAAGGCCAGAGCGCAGGGACAGGGGUCUGGGGACCAUGGUUUCAGGGGACGCACAGCUCAAUCGGCAUAACAAAAUACGUGUUAAGGAAACUUCUCCAUCUCACUUUGGUGAGUGGUGUCUGGGGCCUUAAACGCUGGCAAUCGGACGUCUAAGAUACAUCAAUUGUUCUCAACCCACCUGGAACAAAGGAGGACGAAGAACAGCGGAGACACAAGGUAAAUAUGAGCCCAGGAGACAGAGAGGACCACAUAACCAGAGACUCCAUCAGCCGGAGACUGGAAGAACUAGAUGGUGCCCGGCUACCACCGAGGACUCCCCCGAGAGGGAACACACCGGCGAAUCCCUGAUGGAGCAGGAGAACAGUGGGGUGCACACCUCGAACUCUUGUAGAAAGACCAGGCUUAAUGGUCUGACUGAGACUGGGGGGACCCCAGAUGUCAUGGCCCCAGGACCCUCUGUUAGCCCAAGACAGGAAACAUUCCCAAAGCCAACUCUUCAGGCAGGGAUUGGACUGGACUCUAAGACAGAAAAUGAUGCUGGUGAGGAGUGAGCUUCCUGGCUGAAGUAGACCCAGGAGACUAUUGGGGCAAAGACAGAGGGGGACAGGGGCUGGUUGAAUGCAUGCGGGGAAUACAGGGAGGAGAGGAGGAGUGUGCUGUCACAUUAGAGGGAGAGCGGCUAGGGUUCCACAGCAAGGUGUGCAUACAUUUUUGUAUGAGACACUGACUUGAAUUGUAAACUUUCACUUCAAACACAGGAAAUAAAUAGAAAGAGAAAGAACGAAAACCAAAAGAAAGGAAGAAACCAGGCAUUUUUCCAGAUAAAAGAGCUGAGGAAAAAAUUCAAGCAUCGAGUUGCAAUUUUGAAGGAUUCUAUGGGCAAGAUGUUGAACAAUAGAGACAGCAUUAAAAGAAGAUGGAAGGGAUACACGGAGUCACUGUAUCAAAAAGAACUGGUCGACUUUAAAGCAUUUCAGUAGAUGGCGAAUCAUAAUGAACUGAAAGCACUGAAGGAAGAAGUCCAAGCUGCACUGAACCCAUUGGUGAAAUCCAAGCCUCCACGAGUUGACAGAAUACCGACUGAGAUGUUUCAAUGAAAGGAUGCAGCGCUAGAGGUGCUCCCUCAUCUCUGCCAAGAAACUUGGAACACAGCUCUCUGGCCAACCAACUGCAAGAGAUCCACAUUUGUGCCCGUGCCAGAGAAAGGGGAUCCAACAGAACGCAGAAAUUAUCCAUCGAUAUCAUUAAUAUCUCAUCCAAAUAAAAUUUGCUGAAAAAAUUAAUAAAACAGUUGCAGCACCACAGGGACAAGGAACUGCCAGAAGUUGGAGUUGGAUUCAGAAGAGGACGAGGAAUGAGGGAUAUCAUUGCUGACGUCAGAGGAUCUUGGCUGAAAGCAGAGAAUAUCAGAAAGGUAUUUGCGGGUGUUUCGUUGGCUAUGCAGAUGCAUUUGAGUGUGCGGAUCAUAACAAAUUAUGCUUAACCUUGCGAAGAACGGGAACUCCAGGACACUUAAUUUUGCUCCUGUAGAACCUGCACCUACAACAAGAGGCAGUCAUUCAAACACAACAACAGCAUACUUCUGUGGUUCGACGUCCGGCAAGGUGCGUACCAUGGUUGUAUCGGUUCACCAUACUUAUUCAAUCUGUAUGCGGAGCAAAUGACCCCACAAGCUGGAAGAUAUGACGAAGAGCUUGGCAUCAGGAUCGGUGGAAGAUUCAUUACCAACCUGCGAUAUGUAGAUGGCACAAGCUUGUUUGCUGAAAUCAAAAAGACUGGAAGCAAUUACUCGUGAACAUCAGUAUGGAUUCCACCGCGACAAUAAUAAAAAAAAAAAAAGAGAGAGAGAGAGAACUCACAACAGGACCAAUAAGCAACAUGAUGAUAAACGGAGAAAAUAUUGAAGAUGUCCAGGAUUUCUGUUUACUUGGCUGCACGGUCAUCCCUCACAGAAGCAGUAAUCACGAAAUCCAAGGACGUAUUGCACUGGGCAAAUUUACUGCAAAAGACCUCUUUGAAGUGUUGAAAACAAAGGCAUCGCUUAGAGGACAAUGGUGCCCCUCACCCAAGGAAUGAUCUUUUCAAUAGCCUCCUGUGCACGCCAAACCUGGAGAAUGAAUAACGAAGACGGAAGAAGAAUUGACGCCUUUCAAUUACGAUUCUGGCAAACAAUACUGAAUAUACCGUGCUGGUACACUGCUUACGCCUUCGCUGCUACCCAAAAGAUUGGCAGAUGAAAUCCACCAGCUGCUCCUUGGAAACCCUAUGGGUCGGUUCUACUCUGACCUUUCAUAGUUUUGCCAUGGGCGGGAAUGGAUGGGCAGCGAUGGGUUUGGUUGGCCAGAAGAACGAACCAGUCCGCCUUGGAGGAAGCAGAGCCAGUGUGCUCCUUGGAAGCAAGGAGGAGGAGACUUUGUCUCACAUACUUUGGACAUGUUAUCAGGAGGGACUGGAAAAGGACAUCCCGCUUGGUAAGGUAGAGGGUCAGCGAAAAAGAGGAAGGCCCUCCAUGAGAUGGAUUGACACGGUGGCUACACAAUAAGCUCAAACAUAGCAAGGACCGUGGGAUGGCGCAAGACUGGACAGUGUUUGGAUCUGUUGUACAAGGGUUGUGAUGCUUUGCAACUGACUGGACAGCCCCUAAUAACAGCAGCGGCCUCUACGGAAGAUGGCUGCAACAUCUUUCCCCGAAGAGCAGCUGGUGGGCUCCAACCACGGACCUUUCAGUUAACCGCUUUCCCACAAGAGCUCCCCUACAAAGAUGACAGCCAGGAAAGAUCUAUGGGGCAUGCCUACCCUGUAACUCAUGGGGUCUCCGUGGCACAAUACAAUAACCAGCUGCCAUCCAGUAGAUUCCGCCUCAUAGAGACCAAGAGGACAGAGUAGAAGUGCCCCAUAGGGCUUCCCAGGCUCUAAAUCCUUACGGAAACCCGCCGUCCUAUCUUUCUCCCGUGGACGGGCCUGGUGGAUUCCGAUCGCUGAACCACUGCCACCGCCGGGGCUCUUUGCAAAAUACUACUUUUUUUCCCCUCUUUUCUUUUUUAUUGUGCUUUAAGUGAAAGUUUACAAACCAAGUCAGUCUCUCAUACAAAAAUUUGUACACCUUGCUAUAUAUAUUCCUAGCUGCUCUCCCCCUAAUGAGACAGCACACUCUUUCUCUCCAAUCUCUAUUUUCUGCUCCAUUAGGCCAGCUUCUGACCCACUCUGCCCUCUCAUCUCCCAUCCAGACAGGAGCUGCCCACAUUGCCUCAUGUGUCUCCUUGAUCCAAGAAGCUCACUCUUCACCAGUAUCAUUUUCUAUUUCAUAGUCCAGUCCAGUCCGUUUCUAAAGAUUUGGCUUUGGGAAUGGUUCCAAUCUGGGGCUAACAGAAGGUCUGGGGACCAUGACCUCCGGGAUCCUUCUAAUCUCAGUCGGACCGUUAAGUCUGGUCAUUUUCGGGGAAUUUGAGGUCUGCAUCCCACUGCUCUCCUUCUCCCUCAGGGGUUCUCUGUCAGGACAGUCACCGUUUUUAGCCAGGCAUCAUCGAGUUCUUUUGGUCUCAGGCUGAUGGAGUCUCUGGUUUAUGUGGCCCUUUCUGCCUCUUGGGCUCACAUUUACCGUGUGUCUUUGGUGUUCUUCAUUCUCCUUACUCCAUCCGGGUGGUUGAGACCAAUGGAUGCAUCUUAGCUGGCCACUUGCUAGCAUUUAAGACCCCGGAUGCCACUCUCCAAAGUGGGAUGCAGAAUGUUUUCUUAAUAGGUUUUAUUAUGCCAAUUGACGUUGAUGUCCCCUUAAAUCAUGAUCCCGCGCUGUACUGUUGUUACAAAGUAACAAACAAAAAAAGGAGUUGCCUCCACUACUGUCCCAGACUCAUAGGGACCCUACAGGACAAAGUAGGAAUGGCCCACAUGGUUUGUCAAGGGGCAGCUGGUUGAUUCCAACUGCUGCCCUUCCAGCAGCAGCCAAGCACUUAACCACUGCGCCACCAGGGCUCCUGGCCUUAUACUACAGACGCCAUUUGGGGGUUUCGGUUUGUCUGUUUGCUCUAAGUAGUAACCAAAGUGUGUGGAAGUGGCCCACACUCACGGUAGCGGGCAUUCAACUCCCCCUGCUCACUCAGUCCCCUUCCCGGAUCCCCUGGGCUCUUUCUACCGGCAGAUCAUUCCCGCUCCGAAUCCCCGCCUGCCUGUGCCUGGCCCCUUCUCCUCGCCCCACGUUCCUAUUCUGCCACUGCCCUCAGCGUCCGCAACUGCCAUUUACAAACGAAGGCUGCGGGCUCUAGCCACCUUGCAGGCUCCGGGGACGGAGAUUUCCGGAGACCAGGACGCAGAUUUUGCGCUUCUAAAGCGUUCCCAGGACUUGGGAAAUCUGUCAGGCCUGAAUCCACGCUCUGAGCGCAAGUUCCACCCAUCUCUCCGUGGCCCGAAGCUGCACGGUGGAAAUCGCCGCCGGCCCUCGCUCUGGAACAGCCCCUCCUCGGUUGGGCCCCUUCCGGCCCCGCCCCUUAUCCCACACGCUUCCUAGAGGCUGCACUUUCAGAACCCCGGGCUUCUCCGACACCACCGCUUGACAGCGCGAGAGGUCGCUAACUCGCCUCUCUUCGCAAAGUGUUGUGAAUUUCAAUUCUAAAAGCGCCGAAAAACUAUAUUCAGUGUGCUUGAUCACUGUACAGUGUUUCCACAAAGUUGGACCUCUGGACGCUCCCCCAGCACUGCGGGAGGACCCUCCUUGCUUCUGGCCUCUGCGAUAUUAAAGGCCAUCUCACUUCCUGGUUGCCUGGAGGCCCAGAGGGUGGUGAGCCCCGGAUUGAAGGCGCCACUGGGCGGCGCCGGGCGCCGCUGGGGCUCUCCUGCCUGGCCAGCAUCACUUCCUGUUGAGGAGGAGGAGCAGAUCUAAGAAAGUCAGACUUGCUGUCUGCCUGACGCCCUUGCCUGGACUAAAGCCCACCGACACAGGCGUUACACUCUCCAAGGAUUGCGUUUAUACUAGACGAGGCCAUGGAAACACUAAGGGAUAUCGUGGCUCCCCUUCUCCUUGAGAUCCUCAGUGAAUUCCUUGCGGAGAAGAUAAAGAUCAAUAUAAGAGAGCAAGUAAGGGCAGAGUCAGAUGACCAGCGGAUGGGUUUCUUGGACCGCAUAGUUGCCCCUCUAAUGAAGAAGGUUUUUCAAUUGGUACUGGAGAAGACGGCUCCAGUUCUAUUCAACAGGUUUAUUGUGAAACCAUGGAAAUACGUCAUCACCUACGUUGUGAAAAAGAGGAUGCAUCCUGAACCAAUACAUGUGACGAUAGUUUAAUUACCAGUAUCCACGGCGCAGUCGAAGCUUGGACUACUACAAGCAAUCCACGUGGCUUCAACGCUAAGUAAAAGCACCGCAAGAUGGCCUUUUUCUGGCGGAAGGGGAGAUUUCGGUGUUCGCUGACUACCUGGCUGGCCAGUGGUGAGGAUAUUUCUGUCCUCAACUCUUGGCUCUGCUCGGCUCUGCUCGGCUCUGCUCUGCUCUACUCUACUCUACACUACACUACCCUACAGUACUCUAUUGUCCUCGCCUGUACAAUAGUCUAGUCUGUUGACAAAACCGUGAAUAGGAUGGAGAAGAGAGAUGCUAAGGGGGAUCGUGAGUGCAUUUUUCGAGGAUCACAUGGGUGUCGCUCUAACGAAAAAGUUAAUGACAAGGUCCACAGAACCAGUUGAUGUCGUUCUGAGACCAGAUGUCUAUGUCGCUAAUGGAGAUGAUUCUUAUAUUAGUUCUGGGCAACCAGUUCCUCCUGGAACGUUUCAAAACAUCAUCACGUUUUUUUUGUCUGUGAAAAAGAUGAUGCGUAGAAGCCAACCGUUGGGAUUGUGUAUCGCACAGGCAUUUAACCGCCAGAUCGUCGAGAGAUCGUUCUAAAGUAACAUCGUAUAUUCUGGGAGACUGCUCCCAUCCUAUAUUAGCAGCUCGUCAUGUCACCUUCAACAAACAGCAUCACACAUCUCGUUAAGAAGAUGAUGUGCUCAGCCAGCUUGUGGGGUUGCAGUUUAAUUACGAGUUAUCGUUUGCGGACAAUCUAAACGGGCAGAUCAACGAGAAAACUUUAAAAAACAGCAUCGAAUAUCUUUUUUAAGAGAUGAUGCUUCGGAGACUAACAGCAAUGAUUGACGCAGAAAUAUGAAGUAUAAACCGGCACGAUACGAUAGCCAUAUAUUGGUGGACGAGAUGCCCUGUCUUUGCUUCCUCAGCAGUUACUCCCCGCUCCUAUCAGCAACAGCUGGAGGGACAUUUCUGUUCUCAACCCUUUGCUAUGCUCAUUUUGCCAAAUCUAAAUGCCUGACGAAGAAUAGAGUUUUGAAAUGCAGCAAAUAAAUACACGGAUUUAUCUUUAGUACAUGACA